UACGUAGGUGGCGAGCGUUGUCCGGAAUUAUUGGGCGUAAAGAGCGCGUAGGCGGCUUGUCAGGUCCGACGUGAAAUCCCGGGGCUCAACCCCGGACGUGCAUCGGAAACCGGCUUGCUAGAGUCUGGGAGAGGGAAGUAGAAUUCCUGGUGUAGCGGUGAAAUGCGCAGAUAUCAGGAGGAACACCGGUAGCGAAGGCUGCUUCCUGGAACAGUACUGACGCUGAGGCGCGAAAGCUAGGGGAGCAAACAGG
rnacentral:rRNA from 1 species